GAGUUUGAUCCUGGCUCAGGACGAACGCUGGCGGCGCGCCUAACACAUGCAAGUCGAACGAGCGAGAGAGAGCUUGCUUUCUUGAGCGAGUGGCGAACGGGUGAGUAACGCGUGAGGAACCUGCCUCAAAGAGGGGGACAACAGUUGGAAACGACUGCUAAUACCGCAUAAGCCCACGACCCGGCAUCGGGUUGAGGGAAAAGGAGCAAUCCACUUUGAGAUGGCCCCGCGUCCGAUUAGCUAGUUGGUGAGGUAACGGCCCACCAAGGCAACGAUCGGUAGCCGGACUGAGAGGUUGAACGGCCACAUUGGGACUGAGACACGGCCCAGACUCCUACGGGAGGCAGCAGUGGGGAAUAUUGCACAAUGGGGGAAACCCUGAUGCAGCGACGCCGCGUGAGUGAUGAAGUAUUUCGGUAUGUAAAACUCUAUCAGCAGGGAAGAUAAUGACGGUACCUGACUAAGAAGCACCGGCUAAAUACGUGCCAGCCGCCGCGGUAAUAC
rnacentral:rRNA from 1 species